rnacentral:rRNA from 1 species
AGGGAAUCUUCCGCAAUGGACGAAAGUCUGACGGAGCAACGCCGCGUGAGUGAAGAAGGCCUUCGGGUCGUAAAACUCUGUUGUUAGGGAAGAACAAGUACCGUUCGAAUAGGGCGGCACCUUGACGGUACCUAACCAGAAAGCCACGGCUAACUACGUGCCAGCAGCCGCGGUAAUACGUAGGUGGCAAGCGUUGUCCGGAAUUAUUGGGCGUAAAGCGCGCGCAGGCGGUUUCUUAAGUCUGAUGUUAAAGCCCCCGGCUCAACCGGGGAGGGUCAUUGGAAACUGGGGAACUUGAGUGCAGAAGAGGAGAGUGGAAUUCCACGUGUAGCGGUGAAAUGCGUAGAGAUGUGGAGGAACACCAGUGGCGAAGGCGGCUCUCUGGUCUGUAACUGACGCUGAGGCGCGAAAGCGUGGGGAGCAAAC